UGGACAGAUUAUUGUAUUCGACUGUAUUCACGGCGUGAAACAGGUGAUUGCAUUAUUUUUUAACGGAAAAUGAAUCAAUUAACAUAAUCGACUCCU
rnacentral:pre_miRNA from 1 species